CACGUAGGCACCAAGCGUUGUCCGGAUUUAUUGGGCGUAAAGAGCUCGUAGGCGGUUCAGUAAGUCGGGUGUGAAAACUUUGGGCUUAACCCAAAGCGUGCAUCCGAUACUGCUGUGACUUGAGUUCGGUAGGGGAGUGGGGAAUUCCUAGUGUAGCGGUGAAAUGCGCAGAUAUUAGGAGGAACACCGGUGGCGAAGGCGGAUCUCUGGGCCGUAACCGACGCUGAGGAGCGAAAGCAUGGGGAGCGAACAGG
rnacentral:rRNA from 1 species